GACGAACGCUGGCGGCGUGCUUAACACAUGCAAGUCGAACGGAAAGGCCCUGCUUUUGUUGGGUGCUCGAGUGGCGAACGGGUGAGUAACACGUGAGUAACCUGCCCUUGACUUUGGGAUAACUUCAGGAAACUGGGGCUAAUACCGGAUAGGAGCUCCUGCUGCAUGGUGGGGGUUGGAAAGUUUCGGCGGUUGGGGAUGGACUCGCGGCUUAUCAGCUUGUUGGUGGGGUAGUGGCUUACCAGGGCUUUGACGGGUAGCCGGCCUGAGAGGGUGACCGGCCACAUUGGGACUGAGAUACGGCCCAGACUCCUACGGGAGGCAGCAGUGGGGAAUAUUGCACAAUGGGCGGAAGCCUGAUGCAGCAACGCCGCGUGCGGGAUGACGGCUUUCGGGUUGUAAACCGCUUUCGCCGGUGACGAAGCGUGAGUGACGGUAAUGGGUAAAGAAGCACCGGCUAACUACGUG
rnacentral:rRNA from 1 species